ACCGCUGCCAACCUACCUACCGCUGCCAACCUACCUACCGCUGCCAACCUACCUACCGCUGCCAACCUAUCUAUCGCUGCUAAUCUAUCGCUGCUAAUCUAUCACUGCUAAUCUAUCGCUGCUAAUCUAUCGCUGCCAACCUACCUACCGCUGCCAACCUAUCUACCGCUGCCAACCUAUCUAUCGCUGCUAAUCUAUUGCUGCUAAUCUAUCACUGCUAAUCUAUCGCUGCUAAUCUAUCGCCGCCAACCUACCUACCGCUGCCAACCUACCUACCGCUGCCAACCUAUCUAUCGCUGCCAACCUAUAUAGGGUAAAUCAUGGUCCCAUUUGGUCCCAUUUUGUAAAAUGGGACCAAAUGGGACCAGAAUCACUAAUUUAUUAGUAAAACAUGAUCUGGGACUAGAUUUAUAAUAUAAACAGUGUAAAGUGACUAAUUUGCUAAACACUAUAUGGGACCAGGACUAAGAUAUCUAAUAAUAGAACUGAGGAAAAAUUUGAUCCCAGUCCCAUGCAUGGUCACACAGCC
rnacentral:sRNA from 2 species